rnacentral:sRNA from 1 species
GGGCUGGCGAGCCCUGGUGGACGGCCAGGCCCUGUGGCUGCUGAUCCUGGCCCGCGACCACGGCGCCACCGGCCGCGCGCUGCUGCACCUCGCCCGCAGCUGCCAGUCUCCCGCCCGUAACGCCAGGCCUUGCCCCCUGGGCCGCUUCUGCGCGCGCAGACCCAUCGGACGCAACCUUAUUCGCAACCCCUGCGGCCAAGAAGGCCUCCGAAAGUGGAUGGUGCAGCACGGUGGGGACGGCUGGGUGGUGGAGGAAAACAGGACAACCGUGCCUGGGGCCCCUUCUCAGACGUGCUUCGUGACUUCAUUCAGGUGAAUGCCCCUGCUAUCCAAAGGUCCGGCCCCUUGUUGAGAAAGGCCUGCCUGUUCUCAUUCCCCUGUCUCCUGCAUUCCCAGCUGGUGUUGCAAGAAGCAGGUCUUGGACCUAGAGGAGGAGGGUCUGUGGCCAGAACUGCUGGAUAGUGGCAGGAUUGAGAUUUGUGUCUCUGACUGGUGGGGAGCCCGACACGACAGCGGCUGUAUGUACAGACUCCUCGUCCAACUUCUAGAUGCCAACCAGACUGUUCUAGAUAAAUUCUCUGCUGUGCCUGAUCCCAUCCCGCAGUGGAACAACAAUGCCUGCCUUCACGUCACCCACGUGUUCUCCAACAUCAAGAUGGGCGUCCGCUUUGUGUCUUUCGAACACCGGGGCCAGGACACACAGUUCUGGGCUGGCCACUAUGGAGCCCGUGUGACCAACUCCAGUGUGAUCGUGCGAGUCCGUCUGUCCUA